CCCUUAGAUGUUCUGGGCCGCACGCGCGCUACACUGACGAAUGCAACGAGCUUAUAACCUUGGCCGAAAGGUCUGGGUAAUCUCCAAAUUUCGUCGUGAUGGGGAUAGAUUAUUGCAAUUAUUAAUCUUCAACGAGGAAUGCCUAGUAAGCGCAAGUCAUCAACUUGCGUUGAUUACGUCCCUGCCCUUUGUACACACCGCCCGUCGCUACUACCGAUUGAAUGGUUUAGUGAGGCCUUCGGAUCCGCAACUCGUUUUGUGGAGAAGUUGGACAAACUCAGUCAUUUAGAGGAAGUAAAAGUCGUAACA
rnacentral:rRNA from 1 species